rnacentral:rRNA from 1 species
AGAGUUUGAUCAUGGCUCAGGAUGAACGCUAGCGGCAGGCCUAAUACAUGCAAGUCGAGGGGUAAGAGUCAGCUUGCUGACUACACGACCGGCGCACGGGUGCGUAACGCGUAUGCAACCUACCUUUAACAGAGGAAUAGCCCCGAGAAAUCGGGAUUAAUACCACAUAACAUUAUGAUAUGGCAUCAUAUUAUAAUUAAAACUCCGGUGGUUAAAGAUGGGCAUGCGUGACAUUAGCUAGUUGGUGAGGUAACUGCUCACCAAGGCUACGAUGUCUAGGGGUUCUGAGAGGAUGAUCCCCCACACUGGUACUGAGACACAGACCAGACUCCUACGGGAGGCAGCAGUAAGGAAUAUUGCGCAAUGGAGGCAACUCUGACGCAGCCAUGCCGCGUGCAGGAUUGAAGGCCUUAUGGGUCGUAAACUGCUUUUAUUUAGGAAUAA